rnacentral:lncRNA from 1 species
AGUGGAAGACUUAAGAUGGCGGCGUUUGCACGGAGUGCAAUCACUGCGUCCUUACGGGGGUUGCAAGGCGUCCGAAGUAUGAGUCCACUAACAAAAGUCCAGAAACUCGCCAGUUAAUAGUAUUGUGUCUCUUCAAAAUAUCGGAGAAUAAUUUCUUUCUCGCUGAUCGCCUAACUUCUACUGACGAAGCUUGGAAGUUGCAGAAGCCAGACAUGAUGUAUUGAGUAAAAGGAACUUCGGUACACAGGCCUUUAGUGAUGUGGUGGUAAGAUGUAUGGUACUGGCUCCUGUAUCACCCAGCUCUGGAGUUGAAAGAGCUCUUCAUUCCUGAGUCUCCUGUACCACUGAGAAUAGAAAUACAAAAAAAAUUCUAAAACUUGUAUGGAACUACAAAAGACAUUAAAUAAUCAAAGUAAUCUUGAGCAACAAGGACACAGCUGGAGGCAUCACUCUACCUGAUUUUGUAAUCCAUUAUCAAAAAACUGUGGUACCAGCAUAAAAACAGAUUCACUGACCAGUGGAACAGGAAAGCCCAGACAUAACUCAUACAUUUCCAUCCAAUUGAUUUUUGACAAAAGUGGCACACAGAAUGGGGAGAGGACAAAUAAAUAAAUAAAUUGUUUUGAGAUAUCU